rnacentral:rRNA from 1 species
AUUGAACGCUGGCGGCAGGCCUAACACAUGCAAGUCGAGCGGAUGAAGGGAGCUUGCUCCUGGAUUCAGCGGCGGACGGGUGAGUAAUGCCUAGGAAUCUGCCUGGUAGUGGGGUAUAACGUCCGGAAACGGGCGCUAAUACCGCAUACGUCCUGAGGGAGAAAGUGGGGGAUCUUCGGACCUCACGCUAUCAGAUGAGCCUAGGUCGGAUUAGCUAGUUGGUGGGGUAAAGGCCUACCAAGGCGACGAUCCGUAACUGGUCUGAGAGGAUGAUCAGUCACACUGGAACUGGGACACGGUCCAGACUCCUACGGGAGGCAGCAGUGGGGAAUAUUGGACAAUGGGCGAAAGCCUGAUCCAGCCAUGCCGCGUGUGUGAAGAAGGUCUUCGGAUUGUAAAGCACUUUAAGUUGGGAGGAAGGGCAGUAAGUUAAUACCUUGCUGUUUUGACGGUACCAACAGAAUAAGCACCGGCUAACUUCGUG